CCCCAAACAGACCAACUGGUUGUGGCUGCCUGGGGACUAUGGUGAGAUUUCUGGCGUCUGAUCUGGGUUCCUGGGAAAGCAUGCCCGCAUAGAUUAGUGCCGUCUGCCGCCUGCGGGGCUUGGGCACAGACAGUAGCAUCACAUUCGGGGGAGAUCAUGAGGUGCCCUGAUCCCCUCACCAACCUCCGCCAUCUCCCUGAAAGGUUUGAUCAUCGCUGUGGAAGAUGGCUUCAAAGUUUAGUGAGCUGCCUGCUUGAAGUGUUCAACAACAAUUCUUGCCAUUCUUGGAUGACUGAAUAAAUGGAUGCAAGAAAACAGCCAGGUACUGGCAGAAAGAAAGCAAUUAGCAUGAUUGGAUGAGAAAUCAGACCCACCCCUGAGGAUGAAGAUGGAGGAAGGUGUCUCCGAAGCCCAUGACCCCACCAGGGAGCACGGACCCUGAGCCAAGUCUGCAUUCUGUAGUGAGAAGCCACUCAUGUUCUUUUCCAUACCUCCUUUUAAAUACCUCCCUACCUGAAUAGAACCUCUGUGGCCAGCCUUC